GAUGAACGCUGGCGGCGUGCCUAAUACAUGCAAGUCGAGCGAACAGACGAGGAGCUUGCUCCUCUGACGUUAGCGGCGGACGGGUGAGUAACACGUGGAUAACCUACCUAUAAGACUGGGAUAACUUCGGGAAACCGGAGCUAAUACCGGAUAAUAUAUUGAACCGCAUGGUUCAAUAGUGAAAGACGGUUUUGCUGUCACUUAUAGAUGGAUCCGCGCCGCAUUAGCUAGUUGGUAAGGUAACGGCUUACCAAGGCAACGAUGCGUAGCCGACCUGAGAGGGUGAUCGGCCACACUGGAACUGAGACACGGUCCAGACUCCUGGAGGCAGCAGUAGGGAAUCUUCCGCAAUGGGCGAAAGCCUGACGGAGCAACGCCGCGUGAGUGAUGAAGGUCUUCGGAUCGUAAAACUCUGUUAUUAGGGAAGAACAAAUGUGUAAGUAACUAUGCACGUCUUGACGGUACCUAAUCAGAAAGCCACGGCUAACUACGUG
rnacentral:rRNA from 1 species